ACGGCCAUAUGUUAAAACACCGGUUCUCGUACAAUCACUGAAGUUAAGGAACGUCGAGACUGGUCAUUACUUGGAUGGGUGACCUCUUUCGAACACUAGGUGUUGUAAG